UACGUAGGCAGCGAGCGUUGUUCGGAAUUACUGGGCGUAAAGAGUGUGUAGGCGGUGCUCUAAGUUCGGUGUGAAAUCUCUCGGCUUAACUGGGAGGGUGCGCCGGAAACUGGAGUGCUCGAACGUGGGAGAGGAAAGCGGAAUUCCUGGUGUAGCGGUGAAAUGCGUAGAUAUCAGGAGGUACACCUGUGGUGUAGACAGCUUUCUGGACCAUAGCUGACGCUGAGACACGAAAGCGUGGGUAGCAAACAGG
rnacentral:rRNA from 1 species